AACACUGUUAACCUGCGGUACCUGCGGAAGGAUCAUUACACAAAUGAAAAUAUGAAGGCCCUUCAAACCGGCUGGAUUAUUUUUCUUCACCCUUGUCUUUUGCGCACUUGUUGUUUCCUGGGCGGGUUCGCUCGCCACCAGGACCACACCAUAAACCUUUUUGUUAAUGCAAUCAGCGUCAGUAAAAAGUAAUAAUUAUUUUACAACUUUCAGCAACGGAUCUCAGAUCGGAAGAGCACA
rnacentral:misc_RNA from 1 species